rnacentral:rRNA from 1 species
GUGAGUCGGGUCCUAAGGCGAGGCCGACAGGCGUAGUCGAAUGGAUGAACGGGUGGAUAUUCCCGUACCGGCGGCGUACCGUAAGAGCCGAACGGAUGAGUACUAACCUCCGGUCGCGUGGCGUCGUUCCCUUCGGGGUUCGGGGCGCGUGGCUGUUGGGAGCGUAGUCCCGGUAGGCUAGCGCACAGGGGUGACACGGAAUGGGAGCCGGCCGCGGAGGUGGUUUUCCGUGGUCAAGCACGCAGCCCGUCCCAUAGGCAAAUCCGUGGGACGCAUAGGGUGAGGUGUGAUGAUGGGCGUCCUUUGGACGCGAUAUCCGGUGGUCCAGGCCGUCGAGAAAAGCCUCGGCGCGAGGGGCGUCGCCGCCCGUACCCCAAACCGACACUGGUGGUCAGGUAGAGAAUACCAAGGCGAUCGAGCGAAUCCUGGUCAAGGAACUCGGCAAAUCACUCCCGUGCCUUCGGUAUAAGGGAGACCCCCGGGCGUGAAGAGGCUUGCCCUCGGAGCGUUGGGGGGUGGCACAGACCAGGGGGUAGCGACUGUUUACCAAAAACACAGGUGCAUGCGAAGGCGCAAGCCGCUGUAUAUGCACUGACGCCUGCCCGGUGCCGGAAGGUUAAGAGGAUCCGUCAGCCCCUUUUGGGGUGAAGCGGUGAAUUCAAGCCCCGGUAAACGGCGGUGGUAACUAUAACCAUCCUAAGGUAGCGAAAUUCCUUGUCGGGUAAGUUCCGACCUGCACGAAUGGCGUAACGACUUCCCCACUGUCUCGACCAGGAGCUCGGCGAAAUUGCAGUACGAGUAAAGAUGCUCGUUAAGCGCAGAAGGACGAAAAGACCCCGGGACCUUUACUAUACCUUGGUAUUGGCGUUAGGCGCGGAUUGUGUAGCAUAGGCGGGAGGCUUCGAAGCAUGGGCGCCAGCCCGUGUGGAGCCGCAAGGUGAAAUACCGCUCUGUUCUCGUUUGACGUCUAACCUCGAACAGUCAUCCUGUUCAGGGACAGUGCCUGGCGGGUAGUUUAACUGGGGCGGUUGCCUCCCAAAGAGUAACGGAGGCGCUCAAAGGUCCGCUCAGCCCGGUUGGCAAUCGGGUUUCGAGUGUAAUCGCACAAGCGGGCUUGACUGCGAGAACGACGGUUCGGGCAGGGACGAAAGUCGGAGAUAGUGAUCCGGUGCCGGCGCACGGGCGCGGCAUCGCUCAACGGAUAAAAGGUACCCCGGGGAUAACAGGCUGAUCAUUCCCAAGAGUCCAUAUCGACGGGAUGGUUUGGCACCUCGAUGUCGGCUCGUCGCAUCCUGGGGCUGGAGCAGGUCCCAAGGGUUCGGCUGUUCGCCGAUUAAAGCGGCACGCGAGCUGGGUUCAGAACGUCGUGAGACAGUUUGGUCUCUAUCCUCUGCGCUCGUUGGAAUCCUGAGGAGGCCUGCCCAUAGUACGAGAGGACCUGGGUGGACGGACCUCUGGUAUGCCGGUUGUCGCGCCAGCGGCAUGGCCGGUUGGCUACGUUCGGGAGGGAUAACCGCUGAAAGCAUCUAAGCGGGAAGCCUGCUCCAAGAUUAGGAUUCCUUGACGCUCCCCGGAGCGUUUGUAGCCCGCAUGUUGAACACGUGUUCGAUAGGCCGGAGGUGGAAGCCCCGCGAGGGGUGGAGCCGACCGGUACUAACGGGCGAACGCGGCACAC